rnacentral:rRNA from 1 species
GAUCCUGGCUCAGGAUGAACGCUAGCUACAGGCUUAACACAUGCAAGUCGAGGGGAACAUAGAGAAAGCUUGCUUUUUCUAGGCGUCGACCGGCGCACGGGUGAGUAACGCGUAUCCAACCUGCCAUCACUUGGGGAUAACCUUGCGAAAGUAAGACUAAUACCCAAUGACGUCUCUAGAAGACAUCUGAAAGAGAUUUAAAGAUUUAUCGGUGAUGGAUGGGGAUGCGUCUGAUUAGCUUGUUGGCGGGGUAACGGCCCACCAAGGCGACGAUCAGUAGGGGUUCUGAGAGGAAGGUCCCCCACAUUGGAACUGAGACACGGUCCAAACUCCUACGGGAGGCAGCAGUGAGGAAUAUUGGUCAAUGGACGAGAGUCUGAACCAGCCAAGUAGCGUGCAGGAAGACGGCCCUAUGGGUUGUAAACUGCUUUUAUAAGGGAAUAAAGUGAGUCUCGUGAGACUUUUUGCAUGUACCUUAUGAAUAAGGACCGGCUAAUUCCGUG